rnacentral:rRNA from 1 species
AUUGAACGCUGGCGGCAUGCUUUACACAUGCAAGUCGAACGGCAGCGCGGGCUUCGGGCUGGCGGCGAGUGGCGAACGGGGGAGUAAUGCAUCGGAACGUGCCCAGUAGUGGGGGAUAGCACGGCGAAAGCCGGAUUAAUACCGCAUACGACCUGAGGGUGAAAGCGGGGGACCGAAAGGCCUGGCGCUAUUGGAGCGGCCGAUGUCGGAUUAGCUAGUUGGUGGGGUAGAGGCUUACCAAGGCGACGAUCCGUAGCUGGUCUGAGAAGACGACCAGCCACACUGGGACUGAGACACGGCCCAGACUCCUACGGGAGGCAGCAGUGGGGAAUUUUGGACAAUGGGGGCAACCCUGAUCCAGCCAUGCCGCGUGCGGGAUGACGGCCUUCGGGUUGUAAACCGCUUUCGCCUGUGACGAAGCGUGAGUGACGGUAAUGGGUAAAGAAGCACCGGCUAACUACGUG